GAGCUUGCUUUUUUUAGGUUUUUAGAAGUCAUCUUUCAGAACUUGUUCAUUAUUGAUUUCAAAAUGACACCACAUGACUAUUCUCAACAAUGAAAAGCAAAAUGGAAAAAUGUUCUUUCUCCUUUUCAUUUACCUACUGUGUAUCUUCUUGAUAUUCUCAUGUUUAUGGUAUUUCCUACUCAAAAUGGAAGAAGCAUAAUUUUUUUUAUUUCCUCCACAGUAAGAAAUUAUAAGUACUUCAAGUACCAAAUACCUAUAUUUAAUUUUUAAAAGUUAAAAGAUGCUCAUACAUAAACUUUUUUUUUUAUAAUUACUUUCAUCAACACUGUUGACUUCAUGUUGCUCUGGAGGUUUUUACAUCCUCUCAUCCUUUUUAUUUUUUUGAUAGAAUACAUUACUGUAAGAAGUAGAAAUAAUGACCUCUGAGUACGUCUACCAUCCAUACCUCUUAAAAGUACCAGUCGCUUUCACCAAGAAGAGGGAGGGGAUCCAUACGUUCCUUAGUGUUUAUGGCAACUUUGCACUGGUGCCUUUAUCACUUUACUUUAAUAUCUGCAUAUUUAUAUAUCUAAAAAAUGAAAUACCAAUCUAAAAAAAAAUCUGGAAAAAAAUGCUGUUAAAUCAGAGUGAGGAUUUUAGCCCAUCAUUUCUCCUCCUGCAUAUUGGAGAACCAUCAGUAGAUGAGAUGGAAGUGACGCAAAGCACGAAGGAAGGAGGGAAAACGGAUGAAAAACCCUUGCAAGAUGUGCUCCAAGUGCAAGAGACCUCAAGGCAUGGAGUUCAUCCAGAGGUGACUCUGGACCUGCCCGGCAGCCUCCAUGCCAACAUUCUUCAUACAGCUGUGGCAGCGUUCCUUGAGCUCUUCCAACAAACUGUGCCGCUUGUAGCUCUGGCCACAGUAGUUGCACUUGUGAGGCUUCCCCACCGUGGAGAGAACGAGAGUGUCAGGUCACAUCCACAGCAGACCACCUGUGCUACCAGCAUCGCGUCUUCACAGCAAACUGCUCUUGAGAUGGAAAGACAACUAAGAAUGGUUACUCAAGUCCCAUGCCUUCUUCCCAGCCCCAUUUCUCCCCACGCACACACCUCCCACCCCCUGGGUACUUGGCUCCAUCAGCUGUUCACACUAAUGCAUGGUAUGGUAUCCACAGUAGCAACAAGAGGUGCACUUGCUGAUUGUAAAGCAAAUACACAGAGGGGAAAACAACCCCGACAGCUGAAUCACAUUCCAGCACUGCCUCUGUGUCACCAAGUCUCAUGGGAAAGAAACUUCUGAGGGACAGAGGGAGCUGUGGGGGGAUAUAGGGGACUCUGAGAGGCUAUGGAGGGGAUAUAGGGCUGAUGUUGGGAUAUGUGGGGCCAAAAGGUGAUAGGGAGCUAUAGGGUGGGCUAUAAGGGGAUGUUGUGCUAGAAGGCUCCCCUGCCCCCUCCCCUUCCCCCCCAGCUUUAACCUAUCCAUGACAGGGUGGCUGAGAUGCUGGUCAUGAAACUUAAAUCAGAGUUGAAGUUGUAUUGGAAUAGAAUAGGAUUGUUUUGUGGUCUUAAAUCUGAAACAUGUUUUCUCCUUGGGCUUCAGGUACAGAUAUUGUUUAAUAAUGACUUUGGAGAAGGUUUCACUAUCGAGUCUCUUUAUCAGGAAGAAAGAAGAAGGUUUUUGGAGGACUUAAUCACAAGUGGAGCUGCUGCUGAACCUCUACUUCCAAGAAGCAAGCAGGCUGGGCAGACAUGGGAAGCUGCUGCCUGCAGCAGCACCAGCUGAGAUCUGUGUGCCAGAGGAAGGAAUGCGGCGUCUGGAGGAGCGGGAGGAGCAGAUCCUGCUUGACUCUGCGUGUUCUGCAGGGCCAUUCCUCACAGACUGCCACUGACAGAUGUUGGGACAUUGCAGAACCUGUUAGUGCGGCAGAGGUAAACUGGUGUUGAUGUGUAAUGCCAUUUGAUCUGUGUGCAUGCAGAAUUUCCCUGUGUUUGCAUGUCUCAGUGUUUAUGGCCCUGGUUUUGUUCAAAGAUGUCAGACCUCUGUGUGCCUUUGUUCCCCCUCCACCUGGUUCUGAAGAGCCCUUCCAUUUUUGAGAAGGCUGCAGGCUUAGUUCAGCAUCUCCUGAUAUGUCACACAGAUUCAGGGCUUUCAAGAAGUCACUUCUUUAAAGUGUUUAAGAUGGUGAAUUCUGCUAAACAGAGCGCUUGUCUAAUCAAACCUCUUAAUUCCAAGGUUUGUUCUGCAGGUCCCGAUGAUGACACAGGCAUUAAACAGCCCGGAACUCAUCGCUGGGGAGAGGCUGUGCAUUGUGUUGUGAAGGGAGAGAUGGAGGAGGGGUUUGAACAGUGUUGCGCAGGAAUGGAAAGCUGGUUGCUGCCCUUCAAAGUGCGCUGUGGAUGGGCAGCACGAUGACAACCCAAGGAUGGCAGCAGGAGAUGCAGCACAGCCCUCUCCAGCAGCAAGGCAGGGAGACGGACAGCAGUACUGCAGCUCCUCUGGCAGCUUUGCAGCUAUGUCAGGAAGCAGAAGAUGUGAAUUUGAAAGAAGUCAGUUACUGGGACGUUCCCCUGUUCUUCCCCUAGCUGUCCCCUUGCCUCAGUCCGGAUUCCCCUUGCAUUCCUGUAGGUAUCCCUUCUAUCCCCCAGGCUUCUCCUUGCUUUCCCCAAGGUAACCCUUUACCUUCCCAGGAGAGCCCACCCAUAAUUCCUUCAGAGCCCCAAUAGCUCCCUCAAUAUUUCCCCAGCAAGACCCCGUAGACACCCCACAACCCUCCACAGAGCCCCAUAGCCCCUUAAUGACCUCCUCGACCUGGUACUCCUCCUCCAUAGCUGGCCAAAAACCUCACAGACUUCACAGCAGCACCCCAUAUCCCCCACUGGACUCCCACUGAACCCCCUUAUUUCCUUCCUCAGAACUCCCUUACCACCUCCAGGGCUCCUUAGCAACCUCACAGACACCCACAGUACCUGACAGCACACCUGUCAUCAAUUCCAGGCCACUCCUCACCCGCUUUUCCUUCCAGAUCCCAUACAACCGUACAGUGCUGGGGCUGGGGUGACUGCUGCGGAGCUGAAGCAAGUGUAGGGCACAGAUGUGGGUGAAAGUGAUGUGGGGGGCAUUGGGGAUAUGGAGGCACAGGUACAUGGGGGAUAUAGGGAUAUAGGCCACAGGCUGCAGGAGCAGGGUGCUGCGCAGGAGAAGGCAACGUGUGAGGUAAAGGUGGGACUUGUGGGUGUGGGAACAUGGGGUGGCAUAGGGGGUCUGGGGGCA